CUGUAAACACAAAUCCUGGAGACGCCAAAAACCUGGCUGCUAUCGUAGGGGGCCCCGUAGGCGGUAUGAUAUUUCUUCUUCUAAUUAUUCUACUCGUUGCCAGGGUUUCACGAGCUCGUAAAAGGGCAGCUGUUCACAAUGAAAACAUCACGGAAAACGAUCAUAACAAACUUAUCGAAAAUGCAACCGUUGACAAUGCUGAAAUUCAGGAAUGCGUAUACAACAAUCCUACUUUUGCAUAUGGCUCUUUGUGUUAAAAACACGGAGACCAGUAUUACAAACACUAUAAGUGUGCAACAUAAAUACCUCUAAAUACUUCUAAAUUAUGCUAAUCCUGUUGUUUUCUAUUGUUUAAUUAGCACUAUUUACUACUAAAUAGUGCAAGGUGUUGCACACUUUUAGUGUUUGUACUCUACGAGUGCUUGGAAAAGAUACAGUGAUUAGAUGAAUAGUGCGGGAGCAGUGGAACAGGUGGAAAUCCAUUUCAAUGAUAUGGCGUGUUACGUUUCCCCUCAAACCGAAAGUUCACAGUAUGAGACUAUAAAUAAAGAAAAAACUUUGUAUGCAA